ACUAGCUUACGAGUCCCAAAGAGGACGAAACGCGUGUCCUGGAU
rfam:Schistosoma curassoni strain Dakar, Senegal genome assembly, scaffold: SCTD_scaffold0003163